UUUACUAGCGUGUGAGAUGAGUGCAAUUGUGCGAUAGUUUGAGCAUUCUUUGGCAUUGCCUUUCUUUGGGAUUGGAAUGAAAACUGACCUUUUCCAGUCCUGUGGCCACUGCUGAGUUUUCCAAAUUUGCUGGCAUAUUGAGUGCAGCACUUUCACAGCAUCAUUCACGAUUUGGAAUAGUUCAACUGGAAUUCCAUCACCUCCACUAGCUUUGUUCGUAGUGAUGCUUCCUAAGGCCCACUUGACUUCACAUUCCAGGAUGUCUGGCUCUAGAUGAGUGAUCACACCAUCGUGAUUAUCUGGGUUGUGAAGAUCUUUUUUGUACAGUUCUUCUGUGUAUUCUUGCCAUCUCUUCCUGAUGUCUUCUGCUUCUGUUAGGUCCAUACCAUUUCUGUCCUUUAUCGAGCUCAUCUUUGUGAAAUGUUCCUUUGGUAUCUGCUAAAGCUGAAACUCCAAUACUCUGGCCACCUCAUGUGAGAGUUGAUUCAUUGGAAAAGACUCUGAUGCUGGGAGGGAUUGGGGACAGGAGGAGAAGGGGACGACAGAGGAUGAGAUGGCUGGAUGGCAUCACCGACUCUAUGGACAUGAGUUUGGAUAAACUCCGGGAGUUGGUGAUGGACAGAGAGGCCUGGCGUGCUGCAAUUCAUGGGGUUGCAAAGAGUCGGACACGACUGAGUGACUGAACUGAAGAAAUCUGGAAUUUAAAUUUUAAUUAAUUCACCUGAGGGGUGUGUGUGUGUGUGUGUGUAGGGGAGGGGACUUGAAAAUACACACAAAUAAGACAUCAGCUUCUGAUAUCUUAUUUGUGUGUAUUCCCCCAGCCAGUACAUUUUACUUUAUACUGUUAAGUUAACUUGAUGAAAGUGUAAGUUUGGGUAAAAUUGAGAGAACAAGAGUAGAGGGUUUAUUUGUUCUAUUUUUUGCCUGCCCUGGGUCUUCAUUGUGACAUGAAGGCUUUCUCCGGUUUUGGUAUGCAAGGGCUUCUCUGUUGUGGUGUACAGGCUUAGUUGCCCUGUGGCAUGUGGGAUCUUAGUUCCCUGAACAGGGAUCAAACCCGUAUCCCCUGCAUUGGAAAGCGGAUUUUUAACCAAUGGACCACCAGGAAAGUCCCAAGAGUAGAGGAUAUUAUUUAUAGGAGUGUCAAAAUUCACUAUCUAGACAGACUUUUUUUUAUUUGACUUAAGAGCAGAAAUCCACACAUCAGGAGUAUAACAAAAAAAAAAAAAAAUUCUUUUUCAUUGUGCUCCUGGCAACAGCCUGGAAUAAUUCUGCAAAAACUCCAGCUAUGAAGAAAGUCACUCUGACUAUGUCACGUCAUCUGAGUCCCUGCCACUGUGCUUUGUGCUUGGGCAUUUUUCACCCACCUGGUUCUAAUUGCCUGAGCAGGGCUUCCAUUCUCUGUGGGAGAAGUGAGGCUUCCCUAGCCUCAUUUACAGGACACGCCAGAUGUAUGAAUAGAUACAGGCUCUGAAGGGUAGAGAAUGGAUGUAGCAAGCCCUUCCUCUUCUUGGGGAACUAUACUCCAACGUCCUAUAUGCAGAUCAGUGGUUCUCUCCGUAUGGUCCCUGGACUGGCAGCAUUAGCCUCACUCAGGCAUGAGUUAGAAAUGCAAAUUCCCAGGCUCCACCCCAGACCUCCUGAAUCAGACAUUCCAGUGCAGGGCCCAGAAAUCCAUGUUUUAACAGACUCCCUAGGUAAUUCUGCUGCUACUACCAUGGGGAGCCCCCCUCCUUCCCUAAUCUCAGGCACCCCAGAUCAGGAGUGGAACACACAUCCUGUGUUUGCCUAGUUAAAGUAAAUGUCUUGACUUCAUCCGAAGCUCCCAGAAGACUCCUGUUCUUCCAACUGCCUUGGACUCAGUUCCUUGUACAGCUGGUUUGUAAUCCCAAAUGGAGAACCUGUCUGAGAAUGAAGCCAGUGAGUGGAAGAAAGCCUCAUGAGCUGGGCCAAGCCCUGCGCCUUGGGCAGAGAGAACCAGCUUCUGAUAAUACUACUGGAGCCCGACAUCCAGCACACUCGAGCCAGCUCUGCCGUGGGCUAUCCAGAUAGAAACGCAGAUUACCUUUUUACUUAAGCCAGUUUGGCCUGCAUAUCUUGACACUUAAGACUGAAGGAAUUCUAAAGAAUACAACAUGCAAACACUAUUCUAAGCCAGUCAGUGAAGAUAAGUGUUUUUUUAAAAAAACAAAAAACAAAAAAAAAACCCCACUAAUCUAAUGAGAACUCACUCUUAGCAGAGAACCUUCUCUCCUGAUUUAUGGAUAAACUUAAGGACACUUGGACACUCUUAUCAACAUGGUCCUUUUCUUCCUCCUUUCUCAGAUACGGUGGUAACUCCGGGGGAGGGCUUCCUCACCCCUGUGCCUGUGACCCUCUGCCUUCCUGUGCCUCCCAGGACCUUCCUUCUUAGGUCACUCUUCUCCCUGCUGUGUGCCCACCUCUCCAUCUCUGAAGCCUCCUUACCAUGAAGUGAAGUGAAGUCUCUCAGUCGUGUCCGACUCUUGGCGGCCCCAUGGACUAUAGCCUACCAGUAUUCUUGCCUGGAGAAGUCCAUGGACAGAAGAGCCAGGUGGGCUACAAUCCACGGGGUCGCAUAAAACAGCAUGUUAUUCAGCCUUGAAAAGAAAGAAAUCCUGCAAUAUAAGACAACAAGGGUGAACCUUAAGGAAGCUAUGCUAAGUAAAAUAAGCUAGUCACAGAAGCACAUGUAUCACAUGAUUCCACUUCUUUGAGUUAUCUAACAUAAUCAAUCUCCUAGAAGCAAAGAAUAGAAUAGUGGUUGUCAGGGGUUGGGGAGAUGUGGAAAUGGGGGAUUACUAAUCAACAAGUAUAUUUUAGUUUUACAAGAUGAGUAUUAAUAAUUAGAGAUCUGUUUAUAACAUUGUGCCUAGAGAUGACAAUAGCAUAUUGUAAACUUUAAAAUUUGUUAAGUUCAGUUUAGUCGCUCAGUUGUGUCUGACUCUUUGCUACCCCAUGGACUCCAGGGCUCCCAGUCCAUCACCAACUCCUGGAACUUGCUCAAACUCACGUCCAUCGAGUUGGUGAUGCCAUCCAACCAUCUCAUCCUGUGUCAUCCCUUUUUCCUCCUGCCUUCAAUCAUUCCAGCAUCAGGGUCUUUUCCAAUGAGUCAGUUCUUCGCAUCAGAUGGUCAAAAUAUUGAAGUGUCAGCUUCAGCAUCAGUUGGUAGGUUUUAAGUGUUCUUACCACAAUAAAGUAAGAGAAAAAGAGAAUGUAGGAUGGAGUUAAGAGAUUUCUGAUAGGACUCAGUGGCUGAACAUCCUAGUUUUCCAAUCCUCAGUAACACUACAAACUUAGUAGUUUAAAACAACACUCAUUUUGAGCUCACAGUUCUGUAGGUCAGAACAGGCAUGGCCGAGUUCUCAGCUCAGAGUCUCACAAGUCUAAAGUCAAGGCUUCAGCAGGACUCACUGCUAAUCUCACUUGGAGCUUAGGGUUCAUUUCCAAGCUCAGCGGGUUGCAGGCAGCAUUCAAUUCUUAGUUUGAAGACCGAGGUCUUAGCUUUCUUGCUGUCAGCUAGGGGCUGCUCUCAGGUCUUAGAGGCUAAUCGCAUUCACUGCCUUGUGGUCCUCUCCGCUGUCAAAACCAUGGACAGGGAAUCUCGUCAAAUCAAAUCCUUCUCACACUUCAGUUCCUUCUUUGUUGUUCAGGAAAAGCCGAGUCACUUUUUAAGGGCAUACUUGGUUAGAUCAGGGUAAAUCCCGCCCCCCCUUUUUUUUUCCAAAGGCAACUGAUUUGAAACCUUAAUUGCAUCUGCCACAUGCCUUUCUAGGAGGGCCUAAGUUAGGGCUUGGUUGAACAACUGAAAGUGUAGGUACACCAAAGGGUGGGGUUUCUGGGGGUCAGCUCCACUUUUUGCCUAACACAGUGGAGAGGUGAGGGUAGCCUGGGAGAGUCCUGGCUGCAGACACUGGAGGGAGCCUACCCUAAAAGAAAUGUUAAGGUUCUCAUGAACUCUCAUAAUUUUUGCUUAUCUGAGUUGUUUUUUUUUUUUAAUCUCUCCUAUUCUAAAUGAUUAUCUUGUUCAGUAGAUAAUCCUAGGUUGCAGGUUUUUCCCUUUCAGCAUUUUAUAUCAGGCCACUCCCUUUUGGCCUGCAGUUUCUGCAGAAAAAGCUAAUAGUCCUAUGGGAAUUCCCUUGUAGGUAACUCUUUUUCUCUUGGUGAUUUCAGAAUCUCUCUGUGACUUAUGCCAUUUUAAUUAUGUCUUGGUGUGAAUGAAUUUGCAUUCACCUUGUUUGGGACCCUCUGAGCUUCCUGUACCUGGAUAUCUGUUUCUUUCUUCAGUGACGUUUUCAACCUAAUUUCAUCAAAAUUUUGACCCCUUUCUCUCCUUCUGGGAUCCCUAUAAUGUGAAUGUUGGCAUACGUGAUAGAGUCCCAGAGGUCCUUUAAAGUGUUCUCAUUUUUUUUUAAUUUGCUUUUCUUUUUGCUGUUCUGAUCGGAUAGUUUCCAUUAUUUUGUCUUCCAGAUCUGUCACCUUUUUGUUGCUUUCAGUCACUCAGUCGUAUCUGACUCUUUGCGACCCCAUGGACUACAGCACGCCAGGUUUCCAUGUCCUUCAUCAUCUCCUAGAGCUUGCUCAAACUCAUGUCUAUUGAGUUGGUGAUGCCAUCGAACCAUCUCGUCCUUUAUCGUCCCCUUCUCCUCCUGCCUUCAAUCUUUCCCAGCAUCAGGGUCUUUUCACCUCGUCUAUCAGGAUCUCUAUCACCUAGUCUAUUAUUAAUUCCUCCUAUUGUAUUCUUCCUUUAUGACUGGUCC
ensembl:lncRNA